AAUAUAUUGAAAGAAAUUAGCAUUGAAUGAAUCAUUAAUAAAUCAUCGACCAAUGAAUACUCUCACAAAAAAUACCUUUCCUUGUGCUGUGGCAAUUUGUUUUUCUCCUAACGUGAAUUCUGAUGAAGGAUUUUCUUAUCAUAGAUUUCCGAAAAUCGAAGAUAUCUGCGAGAAAUUGAUUCAAGUUUGUCAUAGCGAAAUCUAAAGGCUGAACUCAUGUCCAACUAUGGAAGAACUUCCAGCAACAAAAUUUACAAAAAAUUAAAAAUCAAAACUAUUCCUACCCUUUAUUUGGUUCCUGAGAACCCUGCAAGAACUACGUAUGUAAAGAAAUCCAUAGGGAUGCGCAAAGAAAGGCUCUCGACAAGAAGCCCUAAGAAAAUGUUUAAUGCACUCAUCAAUACUGUUGAACAAGAAAAUUGCACUCUUGAUGAUGAACAAUCUCCAAGAUUCCUUUGAUGCUAUGGAAGUGCAAUGCUUCAACGCUUCUUUUGAUAUCUCUAUGAGUGCCAUUGGAGAAACUGAAGUAAAGUUAAACAAAGAUGUGUCGGUCCAUGCAGAUAUAGAUAGA
rnacentral:lncRNA from 1 species